rnacentral:miRNA from 15 species
CCAAGAUGGUUUCAUAUGGCUGCAUUUGCACCUGCACCUAAAGGGGAGCGGGGUGGCCGUGAAGAAAACGAGUUUACAUCCACCAUGUAGGUGCAGCGGCAAAUGCAACCAUAUGCCAUUUUGGU